rnacentral:rRNA from 1 species
UAGGGAAUCUUCCGCAAUGGGCGAAAGCCUGACGGAGCAACGCCGCGUGAGUGAUGAAGGUCUUCGGAUCGUAAAACUCUGUUAUUAGGGAAGAACAAAUGUGUAAGUAACUAUGCACGUCUUGACGGUACCUAAUCAGAAAGCCACGGCUAACUACGUGCCAGCAGCCGCGGUAAUACGUAGGUGGCAAGCGUUAUCCGGAAUUAUUGGGCGUAAAGCGCGCGUAGGCGGUUUUUUAAGUCUGAUGUGAAAGCCCACGGCUCAACCGUGGAGGGUCAUUGGAAACUGGAAAGCUUGAGUGCAGAAGAGGAAAGUGGAAUUCCAUGUGUAGCGGUGAAAUGCGCAGAGAUAUGGAGGAACACCAGUGGCGAAGGCGACUCUCUGGUCUGUAACUGACGCUGAGGCUCGAAAGCGUGGGUAGCAAACAGG